rnacentral:tRNA from 1 species
GCGGGGGUGCCCGAGCCUGGUCAAAGGGGGCGGACUUAAGAUCCGCUGGCGAAGGCCUGCGUGGGUUCAAAUCCCACCCCCCGCACCA